rnacentral:rRNA from 1 species
AAAAGGGUGAACCCGUCUCUGUGGCAAAAGAGUGGGAAGACCUCGCAGUAGAGGUGAAAAGCCAAACGAGCCUGGUGAUAGCUGGUUGCUCAACAAACGAAUUUAAGUUCGACUUUAGGUUUUACCCCUCCCCCAAAAGUAUACACUAGAACCUAAAAGCUACUCAAUGAAGGUACAACUCCAUUGAGACGGGAUACAACCCUUACUAGAGAGAAAGAAACAUCACCCAACCAGUAGGCCUUAAAGCCGCCACCAAUAAUAAAAGCGUCACAGCACAAAAACAACAGAUUCCACCCACACCAACCAACUCCUAGCAAAACAUUGAGCCAAACUAUAAUUAUAGAUAAACUACUGCUAAAACUAGUAACAAGAAAACUUCUCUCCGCACCAGUGUAACCCAGAAAUAGAAAACCUGCUGGACAUUAACAGACCAAAAUAGGUACAACACAACCUACUGUUUUCUUAUUCCUGUUAACCCAACACCGGAGUGCCCCCAAGACAGAUUAAAAGUUAUAUAAGGAACUCGGCAACACUUGUCCCAACUGUUUACCAAAAACAUAGCCUUUAGCAAUACAAGUAUUAAAGGUCCCGCCUGCCCAGUG